rnacentral:rRNA from 1 species
GACGAACGCUGGCGGCGUGCUUAACACAUGCAAGUCGAACGGAAAGGCCCUGCUUUUGUGGGGUGCUCGAGUGGCGAACGGGUGAGUAACACGUGGGUAACCUGCCCUUGACUUUGGGAUAACUUCAGGAAACUGGGGCUAAUACCGGAUAGGAGCUCCUGCUGCUUGGUGGGGGUUGGACAGUUUCGGCGGUUGGGGAUGGACUCGCGGCGUAUCAGCUUGUUGGUGGGGUAGUGGCUUACCAAGGCUUUGACGGGUAGCCGGCCUGAGAGGGUGACCGGCCAAAUUGGGACUGAGAUACGGCACAGACUCCUACGGGAGGCAGCAGUGGAGAAUAGUGCACAAUGGGCGGAAGGCAGAUGCAGCAACGCCGCGUGGGGGAUGACGGCCUUCGGGUUGGAAACCACUUUCGCCUGUGACGAAGCGUGAGUGACGGUAAUGGGUAAAGAAGCACCGGCUAACUACGUG